rnacentral:rRNA from 1 species
UGGGGAAUUUUGGACAAUGGGCGCAAGCCUGAUCCAGCCAUGCCGCGUGCGGGAAGAAGGCCUUCGGGUUGUAAACCGCUUUUGUCAGGGGAGAAAUCUUCUGAGUUAAUACCUCGGGAGGAUGACGGUACCUGAAGAAUAAGCACCGGCUAACUACGUGCCAGCAGCCGCGGUAAUACGUAGGGUGCAAGCGUUAAUCGGAAUUACUGGGCGUAAAGCGUGCGCAGGCGGUUUUGUAAGACAGAGGUGAAAUCCCCGGGCUCAACCUGGGAACUGCCUUUGUGACUGCAAGGCUUGAGUGCGGCAGAGGGGGAUGGAAUUCCGCGUGUAGCAGUGAAAUGCAUAGAUAUGCGGAGGAACACCGAUGGCGAAGGCAAUCCCCUGGGCCUGCACUGACGCUCAUGCACGAAAGCGUGGGGAGCAAACAGGAUUAGAUACCCUGGUAGUCCACGCCCUAAAACGAUGUCAACUGGUUGUUGGGGAAGGUUCCCUUCUCAGUAACGUAGCUAACGCGU